CCUUCGGGCCUCAUGCCAUCAGAUGUGCCCAGAUGGGAUUAGCUAGUAGGUGGGGUAACGGCUCACCUAGGCGACGAUCCCUAGCUGGUCUGAGAGGAUGACCAGCCACACUGGAACUGAGACACGGUCCAGACUCCUACGGGAGGCAGCAGUGGGGAAUAUUGCACAAUGGGCGCAAGCCUGAUGCAGCCAUGCCGCGUGUGUGAAGAAGGCCUUCGGGUUGUAAAGCACUUUCAGCGGGGAGGAAGGCGGUGAGGUUAAUAACCUCACCGAUUGACGUUACCCGCAGAAGAAGCACCGGCUAACUCCGUGCCAGCAGCCGCGGUAAUACGGAGGGUGCAAGCGUUAAUCGGAAUUACUGGGCGUAAAGCGCACGCAGGCGGUCUGUCAAGUCGGAUGUGAAAUCCCCGGGCUCAACCUGGGAACUGCAUUCGAAACUGGCAGGCUAGAGUCUUGUAGAGGGGGGUAGAAUUCCAGGUGUAGCGGUGAAAUGCGUAGAGAUCUGGAGGAAUACCGGUGGCGAAGGCGGCCCCCUGGACAAAGACUGACGCUCAGGUGCGAAAGCGUGGGGAGCAAACAGGAUUAGAUACCCUGGUAGUCCACGCCGUAAACGAUGUCGAUUUGGAGGUUGUGCCCUUGAGGCGUGGCUUCCGGAGCUAACGCGUUAAAUCGACCGCCUGGGGAGUACGGCCGCAAGGUUAAAACUCAAAUGAAUUGACGGGGGCCCGCACAAGCGGUGGAGCAUGUGGUUUAAUUCGAUGCAACGCGAAGAACCUUACCUGGUCUUGACAUCCACAGAACUUUCCAGAGAUGGAUUGGUGCCUUCGGGAACUGUGAGACAGGUGCUGCAUGGCUGUCGUCAGCUCGUGUUGUGAAAUGUUGGGUUAAGUCCCGCAACGAGCGCAACCCUUAUCCUUUGUUGCCAGCGGUCCGGCCGGGAACUCAAAGGAGACUGCCAGUGAUAAACUGGAGGAAGGUGGGGAUGACGUCAAGUCAUCAUGGCCCUUACGACCAGGGCUACACACGUGCUACAAUGGCAUAUACAAAGAGAAGCGACCUCGCGAGAGCAAGCGGACCUCAUAAAGUAUGUCGUAGUCCGGAUUGGAGUCUGCAACUCGACUCCAUGAAGUCGGAAUCGCUAGUAAUCGUAGAUCAGAAUGCUACGGUGAAUACGUUCCCGGGCCUUGUACACACCGCCCGUCACACCAUGGGAGUGGGUUGCAAAAGAAGUAGGUAGCUUAACCUUCGGGAGGGCGCUUACCACUUUGUGAUUCAUGACUGGGGUGAAGUCGUAACAAGGUAACCGUAGGGGAACCUGCGGUUG
rnacentral:rRNA from 1 species